rnacentral:rRNA from 1 species
UGCAAGUAGAACGCUGAAGACUUUAGCUUGCUAGAGUUGGAAGAGUUGCGAACGGGUGAGUAACGCGUAGGUAACCUGCCUAUUAGUGGGGGAUAACUAUUGGAAACGAUAGCUAAUACCGCAUAAUAGUGUUUAACACAUGUUAGAGACUUGAAAGAUGCAAUUGCGAUCACUAGUAGAUGGACCUGCGUUGUAUUAGCUAGUUGGUGGGGUAACGGCCUACCAAGGCGACGAUACAUAGCCGACCUGAGAGGGUGAUCGGCCACACUGGGACUGAGACACGGCCCAGACUCCUACGGGAGGCAGCAGUAGGGAAUCUUCGGCAAUGGGGGCAACCCUGACCGAGCAACGCCGCGUGAGUGAAGAAGGUAUUCGGAUCGUAAAGCUCUGUUGUAAGAGAAGAACGUGUGUGAGAGUGGAAUGUACACACAGUGACGGUAACUUACCAGAAUGGGACGGCUAACUACGUGCCAGCAGCCGCGGUAAUACGUAGGUCCCGAGCGUGGUCCGGAUUUAUUGGGCGUAAAGCGAGCGCAGGCGGAUACCUAAGUCUGAAGUUAAAGGCAGUGGCUUACCCAUGGUUCGCUUUGG